CCUCUGAUUCCGUAAACUCUCG
rnacentral:siRNA from 1 species